GGCUUCAAAGUGUAGUGGUUAGCACGUCUGCUUUACAUGCAGAAGGUCCUGGGUUUGCGCCCCAGGUGGAGCCA
rnacentral:tRNA from 1 species